rnacentral:lncRNA from 1 species
CUGAAUCAAAAUCUGUGGGGCUGGGACCCAGACACCAAUGUUUUUCUUAAAAGCUCUUUAGGUAAUUCAUACGAGCAGCAAAGCUUGAGAACCAGCACAAUAACGGGAACAAACUUAUUUCACACAGAUAAAGUGGGGCAAUUCAUAUGUUAAAAGAACAUGAAUAUAUAUAUAUAUUUAUUUAUUACUCUUUAUUCUGUUUGUGUUUCAAAUAGGCUUUUUUUGUUUUCUUCUGCAAAAAGCGUUGUCUCCAUUUGGUCCAAGGCUUGGGAGAGGGCUCCAGGGCAGUUACAAAGCUGCCUAGUGGCUGCAGAGCGGGGCUUCAGGCAGAAGCUCUGACGCCAGAGGGGCUCCUCAGAGGCCGCUGGACUUCAGAGACUCCUGUUUGUGCUCGAGGCUGAGCCUUUCAAAGAGAUACUCGCCCAGCACAGCCUGCGGACCAGCCAGCCUGCGGAGGUUGGUCAGGUGGUCGCCCAUCUUCUUGAUGAGGUUCACCUGCUCCUCCAGGAAGCGGCUCUCCAGGAAGUCACAGAGGAGACGCUGGGCACCCUCACACUUCUCCUCAGCCAGUUGGCGAAAAAUGUGGCCCACACUGUCCAGAAUCUCAUUGUUGCUGUCGAAAUAGAAGCUCAGAGAGAGGUAAGUGUCCACAGAUGCAUGUUGAACAGGCGGUGGACGGCGGCCUCCACCUCGAUGGAAUAAUUCCGACGAACCUGGGAACUCAUGGUUGAUCAGUGAUAAGGCGCUAAUCUCAAAAAAACGGUGUUGGUCUGUCCUGGAGGCUGAGGAUAGCUGAGUGGCUGAUUCCAAAGGUUGCGACAGGAAGAAAGGUUGAAGGGUGGUCGGGGGCUGGAGCAAGGAGCGUCCCUGGGUCUGUUCAUUCCAAGCACUGUUGAAGCAAAAGACAGAUCUGCAGGACCGCCGAGCGCACUGCCUCAAAUAGGCUUUGAUAUAAAUGAACAAGAAGUCCAAGAAAGGACAAAACUUACCCUUCCCCCCACCAAAAUAGCUGGCGAUACUAGAAUCUAGAUCUGGGAAGGGAUUCUUCUAUUACAUUCUUAACAUUCCAAGCCACUAGAGCAGUAGUUCUCAACGUAUGGUCACCUUGUAACCAAGCAGUACCCUAUGGGGCCUUCCUAGGACAGACCCUUCCCCUAUAUCGUCUGCUGUAGUUCCUCUCUGAAGUACUCAGAUAAUAGUAUCUCAGGCAUAUUUCUUGAGUUUUCAGAUGCUGAAAACCACCACCCAGUGGAAGAAAUUAACUCCUUGAUGAUCAUGAGCACGUAGCCCCCAGACCUUCUGGCACCUAAGGAUGUUAUCUGCCCUGUGGCCUCAACAUCAACCAAUCAAAGGAUUGUGCACGAGCUGAUCACAUUCCCUGGGACGUCCCUCCCUCACCUGGCCUUUAAAAAUGCUUUGCUGAAAUCCUCUGGAGAUUUCAGGGGUUUUUGGAACACGGGCCACCCCUCUCCUUGCUCGAUCCUGCAAUAAACCUUUCUCUGCUCCAGACUCCAACUUUUAGGUUUGUUUGGCCUCACUGUGCUUCAGACACACGAACCUGCAUUCGGUAACAACCUGACCAGCUUUACCAGCGUCCUCUAAUAAUGUGUCAGAUAUUCAAGUUUUAGGGCCCUGUCCCAGCCCUAUGGAAUCAGCAACUCAGGUGGGGCUCAGUGAUCUCUGUUAUAACAGGCCCUCCAGAUGAUUUUUAUUCACCUUAAAGUUUGAAAAUAUCUGCAUUGUCAG